GCCUGGAGGCCGUAGGGCGCCAGUCAUUGUACAGACCGACCCGCGCUGAGCCCGCCAUUCCCGGUCACCAUGGGCAGUGGAGGGAUGGCCGCCCAGCUGCUGACUGAUGAGGCCCUGGAGUCAGUGACGUUCAGGGAUGUGACUGUGGACUUCACCCAGGAGGAGUGGCAGCAGCUGGAACCUGCCCAGAAGGACCUGUACAGAGAUGUGAUGCUAGAGAACCUCCAGAACCUGGUCUCGCUGGACUUGGAAAUGAGACCUGAAAUGAAAGAACCGGACCUGAAGGAGGAGAUUUCGGAAGACAGACCAUCCGGGGCCUGGGGUUCGGCCGUGGACGGAGCGCGGACGCAGGGUGGCAGGGUGGAGUCGCGGCGGGGAAGCGCCAGGACCUGCCCGGGGCGGCUGGAAAUCUCCCGGGAGUCGGCCCCCGAAUGUCGUGAACUGCAGGCGUUCGUUAACCAGAGCCCCACCCCGGCGCCACCCAGGUCGGGGGGUCCGAGAGAAGCAGGGAUCCACCCGUUUGCCAUGCGGGGCAAGAACCUCGCAGGUAACUCGGACCUUGGUAAACCCUCCAGACCGGACGUGGAGAAGAAAUCCUACGACUGCAGCGAGUGUGGCAAGGCUUUCGGUCGCAGCUCGUCGCUGGUGAAACACCAGCGCAUCCACACCGGGGAGAAGCCCUUCCAGUGCGACGUGUGUGGGAAGCACUUUCUGGAACGGUCGUCGCUGACCAUCCACCAGCGGGUCCACACGGGCGAGAAGCCGUACGCGUGCGGGGACUGCGGCCGCGCCUUCAGCCAGAGCAUGAACCUCGUCGUGCACCAGCGCACGCACACCGGCGAGAAGCCGUACGCGUGCGGCGUGUGCGGGAAAGCCUUCCGGAAGACCUCCUCCCUCGCCCAGCACGAGCGGGUCCACACGGGCGAGAAGCCGUACGCGUGCGGCGAGUGCGGCAAGGCCUUCCGCCAGAACAUGCACCUGAUCGUGCACCAGCGCACGCACACGGGCGAGAAGCCGUACGUGUGCGGCGAGUGCGGGCGCGCCUUCAGCCAGAACAUGCACCUGACGGAGCACCAGCGCACGCACACGGGCGAGAAGCCGUACGCGUGCGGCGACUGCGGCCGCGUCUUCAACAAGAGGUCGUCGCUGACGCUGCACCGGCGCAACCACACGGGCGAGAAGCCGUACGCGUGCGGCGAGUGCGGCAAGGCCUUCAGCCAGAGCGCCUACCUGAUCCAGCACCAGAGGCUGCACAUCGGGGUGAAGCCUUUCGAGUGCGGCCGGUGCGGCAAGGCCUUUAGCAAGAACUCCGCGCUGACGCAGCACCAGCGCAUCCACACCGGCGAGAAGCCGUACGCCUGCUACAUCUGCAAGAAGCACUUCACGGGCCGCUCGUCCCUGGUGGUGCACCAGAUGGGCCACACCGGCGAGAAGCCCUACGCGUGCGGCGAGUGCGGGAAGGCCUUCAGCCAGAGCGCCUACCUCAUCGAGCACCAGCGCAUCCACACGGGCGAGAAGCCGUACCGGUGCGCGCAGUGCGGCAAGGCCUUCAUCAAGAACUCCUCGCUCACGGUGCACCAGAGGAUCCACACCGGGGAGAAGCCCUACAGGUGCGGCGAGUGCGGGAAAACCUUCAGCCGGAACACCAACCUCACGCGGCACCUGAGGAUCCACACCUAAGGAGCCUGAGGCGCCCCAGUCUACACCAGGGAGGAGUGGUCCAUGCCCCCUCCUGGAUGCAAGUGGGAAAUGCGGUCUCUGGCAGGACGGCUGCGUCCCAGGACUAACUGCACCAGGAAGGAAGGAAAGUGAGGCGUGUGGGGGGUCGCUGUCUCCCCCUGCCACCCAAAGUGCAAGAAGCGGGAGAGAGAUGCCAGGCCGCACACAGGCAGAGGGACAGCCACGUGAAGAGGCCACAAGAGGGCCGCCAUCUGCAAGCCAAGGAGAGAGGCCUUAGGAGAAACCAACCCUGCUCACACCCUGAUCCCGGACGGUGAGAAAAUAGAUUUCUGCCAUUCAAGCCCAUUGCCUGUGGUCUUUUGCCAUGGCAGCCGGAGCAAACGAAUACAGUGAGUGAGCUACAACAAGCCCCCACUGGACAAACCUUUCUGGCAGAGACGCCAGAUCCUGCAGUGAAUAAGCAGCCAUUUAACAGAGAAUCACGUUUUUUCCCGGUAAAGUGCCAGGUACGCAGGUGAUGUUCAGCACCAAGGACAGCAGCUGGUCUGAGCCACAGUAAGGGCUUCUGUGGUGGCUCAGUGGUUAAGAAUCCGCCUGCCAAUGCAGGGGACACAGGUUCGAGCCCUGGUCCGGGAAGAUCCCACAUGCCGCAGAGCAACUAAGCCCAUGUGCCACAACUACUGAGCCUGCACUCUAGAGCCCACGUGCCACAACUACUGAAGCCCGCGUGCCUAGAGCCCGUGCUCCGCAACAAGAGAAGCCACCACAAUGAGAAGCCCGUGCACCACAACGAAGUGUAGCCACCCCUCGCUGCAACUAGAGAAAGCCCACGUGCAGCAACAAAGACCCAAUGCAGCCAAAAAUAAAUAAAUAAAUAUAUAUAUUUUAAAAAAGGCCUAGAGGGAAAUGAAAGAACAGAGCCGGCCAGUCUCCUCCACUUAGUCCCAGGAGCCCACCUGAGGGAACCACCAAGAGGGACCAUGAGACCAAACGGGUUUUGCCAGCCUGUGUUGAGGAAGGGUGUGGAAUUCCCACAAAUAACUGUUGGUUGAUGGCAGGGGUUGGCCAACCUUUUCCGCAAAAGGCCAGAGACUAUGUAUUCUUUGCAAGCCACAAAAGCUCUCUCUG